rnacentral:rRNA from 1 species
UACAGAGGGUGCAAGCGUUGUUCGGAAUUAUUGGGCGUAAAGGGAGUGUAGGCGGUUUCCUAAGUCUUCUGUGAAAUCUACGGGCUUAGCCUGUAACGUGCAGAGGAAACUGGGAGACUUGAGUGUCGGAGAGGAUAGGGGAAUACCCGGUGUAGAGGUGAAAUGCGCAGAUAUCGGGAAGAACACCCGUGGCGAAGGCGGCUCUCUGGGACGGUACUGGACGCUGAGACGCGAAAGCGUGGGGAGCGAACGAG